UACGUAGGGUGCAAGCGUUAAUCGGAAUUACUGGGCGUAAAGCGUGCGCAGGCGGUUUUGUAAGUCUGUCGUGAAAUCCCCGGGCUCAACCUGGGAAUUGCGAUGGAGACUGCAAGGCUAGAAUCUGGCAGAGGGGGGUAGAAUUCCACGUGUGAGCAGUGAAAUGCGUAGAGUAUGUGGAGGAACACCGAUGGCGAAGGCAGCCCCCUGGGUCAAGAUUGACGCUCAUGCACGAAAGCGUGGGGAGCAACAGG
rnacentral:rRNA from 1 species